ACGGGUGAGUAACACGUGGUCAACCUUCCCUACAGUGGGGGAUAACUAGCCGAAAGGUUAGCUAAUACCGCAUAACAUCUACGAGUGGCAUCAUUUGUAGAUCAAAGGAGCAAUCCGCUGAAGGACGGGACCGCGUCCCAUUAGUUAGUUGGUGGGGUAAUGGCCUACCAAGACUCCGAUGGGUAGCUGGUUUGAGAGAGCGACCAGCCACACUGGGACUGAGAAACGGGCCCAG
rnacentral:rRNA from 1 species